rnacentral:rRNA from 1 species
UACGUAGGGGCUAGCGUUGUCCGGAUUUAUUGGGCGUAAAGAGCGUGUAGGCGGCCGAGUAAGUCCGGUGUGAAAACUCGAGGCUAACCUCGAGAUGUCAUCGGAACUAUUCGGCUAGAGUCCGGAAGAGGAGAGUGGAAUUCCUGGUGUAGCGGUGAAAUGCGCAGAUAUCAGGAAGAACACCUAUGGCGAAAGCAGCUCUCUGGGACGGUACUGACGCUGAGACGCGAAAGCGUGGGGAGCGAACAGG